rnacentral:rRNA from 1 species
AAGAUUAAGCCAUGCAUGUCUAAGUAUAAGCAUUAUACAGUGAAACUGCGAAUGGCUCAUUAAAUCAGUUAUCGUUUAUUUGAUAUUACAUUACUACUUGGAUAACCGUGGUAAUUCUAGAGCUAAUACAUGCUAAAACGGCCGGGUUUCCGGCUGGUAUUUAUUAGAUAAAAACCAAUGCCCUCGGGCUCUAUGGUGAAUCAUAAUAACUUGUCGAAUCGCAU